CAGGCACAAAAUUAUUCACUUUAUAUACAGUUCAAACCACAAGCAAACUAAAUGAUAAAGUUUCAGGGUGCAUAUUUAGUUGGCAAACUUACUUUUAAAAGCAAAGAAGAGAGUACCAUGGAAGUCAGAAUAGUGCUUAGGCUAGGGAAGAGGGAUGGGGUACUGGCAAUGUUCUAUUUCUUGAUGGGGGUGUUGGUUUCAUGAAUAUUUGCCUUGUGAUAAAUCAUGGAGUUGUACAUUCCGGUUUUGUGCACUAUUAAAAUGUUGUUGUACUUCACUCUCUACUUCCACAGUCAGCCUUCUUCUGUUCUUGAAUAGGUUUCAUUUCACUUCUCAAGUCCUUUGCACUUGCUUUCCCUUCUGCCUGGAAAGCUCUUCCUCCACGUAUUCCAAGCUUUGGUUCUAUCAGUUUUGAUCUUUAGGGUUUGACCUCAGAUGUGCCCAUUUCAGUAAGAUCUUGUAGCUCCACUACUUCUGCCCUUGGCCUCCAGCCCCCAGUCCCAUCCACUAGCAUUUCCAGUGAGUUUUCACAGCAUGUAUUGUUAUCUGAGAUUCUAUUUUCUUGUCGUGGUGAUUUACCUGUGUUUGUCACUCACCUCUGGAAUAAAUUCCAUUAUAGGCAGGGUCCUUAUCUAGCUUGUUCAUGAUUGUAAAACCAGUGUCUAUUACAGCACCUGGUUACAGUAAACAGUAAACACAAUGACUGAAUCUCUUGGUAUUACCAGCACAGUGCUUGACUCAUGAUACAUGUUCAUUAGCACUUAAUCUCUCUCAUUGGUACAGUCAUAUGUCACUUAAUGUUUCA
rnacentral:lncRNA from 10 species